rnacentral:rRNA from 1 species
UGCCCCAGUAACGGCGAGUGAAGCGGCAAGAGCUCAAAUUUGAAAUCUGGCCCCUCCGGGGUCCGAGUUGUAAUUUGCAGAGGAUGCUUCGGGUGCGGCCCCUGUCUAAGUGCCCUGGAACGGGCCGUCAGAGAGGGUGAGAAUCCCGUCUUGGGCAGGGUGCCCGUGCCCGUGUGAAGCUCCUUCGACGAGUCGAGUUGUUUGGGAAUGCAGCUCUAAAUGGGUGGUAAAUUUCAUCUAAAGCUAAAUACCGGCCGGAGACCGAUAGCGCACAAGUAGAGUGAUCGAAAGAUGAAAAGCACUUUGAAAAGAGAGUUAAACAGCACGUGAAAUUGUUGAAAGGGAAGCGCUUGCGACCAGACUCGGCCUCGGGGUUCAGCCAGCAUUCGUGCUGGUGUACUUCCCCGGGGCCGGGCCAGCGUCGGUUCGGGCGGCCGGUCAAAGGCCCCAGGAAUGUAUCGUCCUCCGGGACGUCUUAUAGCCUGGGGUGCAAUGCGGCCAGCCUGGACCGAGGAACGCGCUUCGGCACGGACGCUGGCGUAAUGGUUGCAAACGACCCGUCUUGAAACACGGACCAAGGAGUCUAACAUCUACGCGAGUGUUCGGGUGUCAAACCCGUACGCGCAGUGAAAGCGAACGGAGGUGGGAGCCCCUUUGGGGCGCACCAUCGACCGAUCCUGAUGUCUUCGGAUGGAUUUGAGUACGAGCGUAGCUGUGGGGACCCGAAAGAUGGUGAACUAUGCCUGAAUAGGGCGAAGCCAGAGGAAACUCUGGUGGAGGCUCGCAGCGGUUCUGACGUGCAAAUCGAUCGUCAAAUUUGGGUAUAGGGGCGAAAGACUAAUC